rnacentral:rRNA from 1 species
CCUACGGGUGACAGCAGUAGGGAAUCUUCCACAAUGGGCGAAAGCCUGAUGGAGCAACGCCGCGUGGGUGAAGAAGGUCUUCGGAUUGUAAAACCCCUUUGUUAGAGAAGCAAGUGCGUGAGCGUAUCUGUCCACGUUUCGACCCUGUCUAACCAGAAAGCCACGGCUAAAUACGUGCCCGCAGCCGCGUUAAUACGUAGGGGGCAAGCCUUAUCCGUAUUGAUUGGGCGUAAAGGGAACGCAGGCGGUCUUUUAAGUCUGAUGUGAAAGCGUUCGGCUUAACCGGAGUAGUGCCUUGGAAACUGGGGUACUUGAGUGGGGGAGAGGUGAGUGGAAUGCGAGGUGUAGCGGUGAAAUGCAUAGAUAUAUGGAAGAACACCGGUGGCGAAGGCAGCGCUCUGG